rnacentral:rRNA from 1 species
UACAGAGGUCUCGAGCGUUGUUCGGAUUCAUUGGGCGUAAAGGGUGCGUAGGUGGCGCUGUAAGUCAGGUGUGAAAUUUCGGAGCUUAACUCCGAAACUGCAUUUGAUACUGCGGUGCUUGAGGACUGGAGAGGAGACUGGAAUUUACGGUGUAGCAGUGAAAAUGCGUAGAGAUCGUAAGGAAGACCAGUGGCGAAGGCGGGUCUCUGGACAGUUCCUGACACUGAGGCACGAAGGCCAGGGGAGCAAACGGG